rnacentral:lncRNA from 10 species
UGAAAUUCCUUCUCCUGGCUCAUCCUGGCUCAAAAGCUCCCCUACUGAGCACCUUGUGACCCCCACUCCAGCCCGCCAGAGAACAGCCCCCCUUUGACUGUAAUUUUCCUUUACCUAACCAAAUCUUAUAAAACGGCCUCACCCCUCCCUUUGCUGACUCUCUUUUCAGACUCAGCCCGCCUGCACCCAGGCGAAAUAAACAGCCUUGUUGCUCACACAAAGCCUGUUUGGUGGUCUCUUCACACAGACGCCCAUGAAAUUUGGUGCAGUGACUGGGAUCGGGGGACCUCCCUUGGGAGAUCAAUCCCCUGUCCUCCUGCUCUUUGCUCCGUGAAAAAGAUCUACCUACGACCUCAGGUCCUCAGACCCACCAGCCCAAGGAACAUCUCACCAAUUUUAAAUCGGUAGGUCCAGAUUCAUCAUUACUGCUUUGACUUUGAAGACGUUGGAUCAAUUAACAUAAUCAACUGUUACCUGUUACAUUCCAAGCCAGAUGAUCAUACCAAGUCCCAUGAAAUUAUUAGCUGUCAACUGCUAAAUCUUUAUCCAGCUCAAGCCUCUCUCCAGAAUUUCAAGACUGGACAGCCACAGCCUAUUAGACAUCUGCACAUGGAGAGCCUACAGGAUACCUCCAAUUCAAAAGGAGGAUCCAGCAUAAUAGAGGCCAGACAGGUGAUUUGCAUACUCAAGAGAAGAAGCCACAAUAGAAGAAGGCAGAGGAGGAUUCUGUGUUGAAAGCAAGCAAAGAUGGGCACAAUUUGACCGAGCUUCCGUAAACUUCUCAUGGGAACACCUGGCUCAUUUCUCCUGCUGGGAGAUGGCAGGUUCUUGCAUUUGAUACUUGAAUGGGCCAGCUGGGGUAACUGGACAAGGUCUGACUCUGGGCCCCCAUCACUUUUGCUGGCUGGCAAUUCUUUUCCACCCUGAGCAUCUGUAGAGUCAUCCAACUGUGUUUGCAAAACUUGGUUGUAUGUGAGAAGUGUGUUUGUUUUAUGAUCAGUGUCUUGGGUUUUAAAUAAGAAUACUGCAAGAGAUGAUCCCACUAUGAUCCUUGUUAAUGUACCUCUAGGCUAAUAAGUACGGAGAUGAUCCUGCUCUUUGAUUUCAUGAAUAAGAAAAUAAAAUGGGAAAUGCAUGACAUUUAAAAAAAUUAUUGUUAUUACUGAGUGUAAAAUUUAUUUUAACCCUGUCUGUAGUGGCUAAGUUUCAAGUUGAAUGUACUGCUUGCCAGAUUGUAUCUCCUGUUCCUCCUCUCCUUAAAUAUGUGCUUAUUUACUUCCUGCAGAGUUCAAUUUUAGAACCCAUCAAAGUAGAUCCACUCAGACUCUGACUACAUUUUCAUGCAUAAAUUCAUAGAUGUCUUCAGAAGGAAUUGCACUUGCAUAUGCAAAUACCUUCUGAUGCUUUUUAUUUCUACUUUUGGCCUGCACAGUUUUUAAUUCAUGCAAACACAUUACACAAACAAAUAUGGGCUCAAUAACAACAUGCGGCAUGUGUGAAUUGUUAAUUGCAAAGCUAUGAGUUUGAUAUGGCCAAGCAACCUCCAUUAUUAUCAAUGGAGGGGAACAAGACUAAACAGGAAGAAUAAAGGUAUAUUUGAAAAUAAAAUCCCAGUCCUUGGUUUUAUUUUAUGUAAAUAUUAAUAAAGGAAAAG